UAGGGAAUCUUCGGCAAUGGGGGGAACCCUGACCGAGCAACGCCGCGUGAGUGAAGAAGGUUUUCGGAUCGUAAAGCUCUGUUGUUAAGGAAGAACGAGUGUGAGAAUGGAAAGUUCAUACUGUGACGGUACUUAACCAGAAAGGGACGGCUAACUACGUGCCAGCAGCCGCGGUAAUACGUAGGUCCCGAGCGUUGUCCGGAUUUAUUGGGCGUAAAGCGAGCGCAGGCGGUUAGAUAAGUCUGAAGUUAAAGGCAGUGGCUCAACCAUUGUAGGCUUUGGAAACUGUUUAACUUGAGUGCAGAAGGGGAGAGUGGAAUUCCAUGUGUAGCGGUGAAAUGCGUAGAUAUAUGGAGGAACACCGGUGGCGAAAGCGGCUCUCUGGUCUGUAACUGACGCUGAGGCGCGAAAGCGUGGGGAGCGAACAGG
rnacentral:rRNA from 1 species